rnacentral:rRNA from 3 species
AAACCGUUCAGGGGUAAACCUGAGAAACCCAAAAGAUCGAAUGGGGAGAUUCAUCGUCGACGGCGUUGGCUACCGUUUGUGCGCGAUGCUCCGGGUGGGACCCUGCGGUUCCAUUAGCGAGGGCACGCCACCUUCGGAUCGAACUUUCCUGCGUCGUAGUCGUGCACUUCUCCCCUAGUAGGACGUCGCGACCCGUUGUGUGUCGGUCUACGGCCCGAGCGGGAGACUGUCGCGUCGCUUCGGCGCACGCGGCAGACCCUCGGUCGCCCGGCCGGCUGCACGACGGUACACCAACGGUAUCGGGCCGCAGCCAAUCCAUUCUCGAAUGUGUGUGCGUCCAUCCCGCCGCAAGCUCGGUCAGUUCUUACCCGGAGGUACGGACCCUGUGCCGUCCCCGGGCCUGGCCAGCUGUUAGCAGGCGGUGUCCUCGGACCGGCCAAACCUCGGAUUACCGGUCGGCGACGCUAUUGCUUUGGGUACUCUCAGGACCCGUCUUGAAACACGGACCAAGGAGUCUAACAUGUGCGCGAGUCAUUGGGAUGCACAAACCUAAAGGCGAAAUGAAAGUGAAAGUCGGCCUUCGCGCCGAUCGAGGGAGGAUGGGCCGCGUAACCAUGCGGCCCCGCACUCCCGGGGCGUCUCGUUCUCACUGCGAGAAGAGGCGCACCUAGAGCGUACACGUUGGGACCCGAAAGAUGGUGAACUAUGCCUGGUCAGGACGAAGUCAGGGGAAACCCUGAUGGAGGUCCGUAGCGAUUCUGACGUGCAAAUCGAUCGUCGGAACUGGGUAUAGGGGCGAAAGACUAAUCGAA